CCUACGGGGGGCUGCAGUGGGGGAUAUUGGUCAAUGGGGGCAACCCUGACCCAGCAACGCCGCGUGAGGGAAGACGGUUUUCGGAUUGUAAACAUCUGUCCUCUGUGAAGAUAAUGACGGUUGCAGAGGAGGAAGCUCCGGCUAACUACGUGCCAGCAGCCGCGGUAAUCAGUAGGGAGCAAGCGUUUUCCGGAUUUACUGGGUGUAAAGGGUGCGUAGGCGGCCCUGCAAGUCAGAAGUGAACUCCAUGGGCUUAACCCGUGAACUGCUUUUGAAACUGUAGGGCUUGAGUGAAGUAGAGGCAGGCGGAAUUCCCGGUGUAGCGGUGAAAUGCGUAGAGAUUGGGAGGAACACCAGUGGCGAAGGCGGCCUGCUGGGCUUUAACUGACGCUGAAGCACGAAAGCGUGGGUAGCAAACAGGAUUAGAUACCCUUGUAGUC
rnacentral:rRNA from 1 species